ensembl:snRNA U6 U6 spliceosomal RNA
GUGCUUGCUUUGGCAGCACAUAUACUAAAAUUGCAAAGGUUCAGAGAGAUUAGCAUGGCCCCUGUGCAAGGAUGAUAACAUGCAAAUUCGUGAAGCAUUCCAUAAUUUU